rnacentral:lncRNA from 1 species
UCAUGCCCGGCCUUGUCACCUCCAGCCACCAUGCCUGGUCUUGACUCCGCCACACCACCAGCACACCGACCACUGCUGGCCUUGCCUCAUCCACCUUCCUUUACCAAAAACAAAACAAAAUCAGAUUUAAAAGAGAGAGAUAAAGAGACAGAGGACAUAGACAGACAGAUAGAGCUAGAAAGAGGUAGAACUGUGGUGGUGGUGGUGGUGGUGGUGGUGGGACGGCAAGCGUGACGAAUAUCAGAAGAUUGGGAGAAUGGAAAUGUGACAAACAUAGAUAAAUGAUAAAGAAGAAAAAUGUUAAGAAGAUUAACAGGUGAAGUGAGUUGAAAAAAGAAAAACAAAUUCAGUUGACAGAGA